rnacentral:rRNA from 1 species
AACGAACGCUGGCGGCAGGCUUAACACAUGCAAGUCGAGCGCCUCGCAAGGGGAGCGGCAGACGGGUGAGUAACGCGUGGGAAUCUACCCUUAGCUACGGAACAACUCCGGGAAACUGGAGCUAAUACCGUAUGUGCCCUUCGGGGGAAAGAUUUAUCGGCUAAGGGUGAGCCCGCGUUGGAUUAGCUAGUUGGUGGGGUAAAGGCCUACCAAGGCGACGAUCCAUAGCUGGUCUGAGAGGAUGAUCAGCCACACUGGGACUGAGACACGGCCCAGACUCCUACGGGAGGCAGCAGUGGGGAAUAUUGGACAAUGGGCGCAAGCCUGAUCCAGCCAUACCGCGUGAGUGAUGAAGGCCUUAGGGUUGUAAAGCUCUUUCGCCAGGGACGAUAAUGACGGUACCUGGAUAAGAAGCCCCGGCUAACUUCGUGCCAGCAGCCGCAGUAACAC